GUGUCAGCCGCCGUGGUAAUACGAAGGGGGCUAGCGUUGCUCGGAAUCACUGGGCGUAAAGGGUGCGUAGGCGGGUCUUUAAGUCCGGGGUGAAAUCCUGGAGCUCAACUCCAGAACUGCCCUUGAUACUGAGGAUCUUGAGUUCGGGAGAGGUGAGUGGAACUGCAAGUGUAGAGGUGAAAUUCGUAGAUAUUCGCAAGAACACCAGUGGCGAAGGCGGCUCACUGGCCCGAUACUGACGCUGAGGCACGAAAGCGUGGGGAGCAAACAGGAUUAGAUACCCUAGUAGUCC
rnacentral:rRNA from 1 species